AUGGGCAAACUUCCUGGCAGAGGUAGAGAAGGAGCAGGAGAAAAGGCUGCUUGAGAUGAAGCAGGAAGUUGCCACCAUGCAAGUGACCAAGAAGAGAAAAUCAGCUCCAUCUCAGAACCCCACCAACACCAGUCAAGUGACAUCUCUGGGACCUUCUGAGAGAGACGCUCCAGCAAGACCUGCUCAGAAACGGCCUCUGGCUUCUGAAUUUACCAGUCUUGUGAUGAGGAAGAAGAGGACAAUUGGUCACUGGCCCAGUCAUGUCCAGGCAGCAGCUGGUGGCCACUUUUCUUCCUUCCUUUUGUCUUCCACAUCCCUUUGCUCUUUGGACAUGCUUCCAAGUGUUGGCUCCAUUUCCCCCUGCACUCAUGUGGUGCAAAAACGAGAGAAAUUUCAGAGUUCCAUCAUCCCAGCGCCUGCCAGAGUGCAGAGGAGAUCCCCAAUUCAAACAGGAAGAAA